AGCGGGGGCGGGGCCCUGGGGGCGGGCUCUGCGGCCUGUGGCUGCAGAGGGACGCAAGAACAUAAACUGAAAUCCCACAUCCCCGUGAAGGAACUUGGAGAUAAGAUGCAAAGCGCAGCAAAUAGGAGCCACUCUUUCAGAGAUGACAGACCACCUGGUUUCAAGGAGCAGCAGACGGCGUGAAUGAAUGAAGUUGGCCAGGUAAAGAACUGAAAUGCAGACAGGAAAUGGGACUUGCCUGACAUGGAGCAGAUGGUAGGUGGCAGAGGAAGAUUGGCCACUCCAUAACUUGUGCUCUCUCCAAUUCUCUGGACUAACUGUCUAUACAGAUGAUUGCCCUGGGACUGAGCUUAGGGAUUUCCAAACUCUUGCUAUUUAACAACUGUCAAAGACUGAGAAACAGGGCUUAUAUUUUAUUCAAGCUACCCAGAGUAGGGCCUCUCUCUAAUCUAUACUUCCUUUUCGGGGAAGAGAUAUUUGGCUUCAGGCAGCAGUAGCGCCUGCUCCCUAGGGAAGUGGUUAGAGGUACCCACUUCCCCAUAUCAGCAGAAACAAAACAGGCAGGAGUCUCUCUGCUUGAGGAUCUGCCUGAAUAGGGAAGUGAGAAUUGGCAACCACUUCUCCCUCCACCAAUGGGAAUCCUAGAUGAAGGGAACUGGGUGGGAGGUGGCAGGGGUGGGCAGAGUGGCAGCAUUUCUGUUUCUUAAAUCCAUAACUCCAGGCAUCUUCAGACACUUGAUUCCACAGCCAUAGGGAAUUAUAUAUAUUUUGCUGCUCAGCUACCUCUUUGCAAUUAGGUCAAUUAUAAAAUUACUUGGAAUUUAACCAGCCAAAUGAGAAAGUAUGCAUUCUACAUGUUCUGUGUAAGGUCGAAUUUAACUGUCACUUCAAGUUCUGUUCUUCUCACGUUUCCAUGGAAAUUUACACCCUUCUCCUUUAUUUCCCACAGAAUUUUAUUUGUUCAUCUUUUAAAAUUCCUAUAAUAUUCUGUCUUGUUUUUAUUAAUACUUAUGCCUUGUUUUUUCUCCUUUACUAGACUGUAGGGUCACUCAAAGCAAAAACUCCUCUUCCAUCAAAUUCAUUCACACUUUUGAAGCUCCUAAACCCUUAAUAAUAAGAGCUUACAUUUGUUGAGCACUUGCUAUGUGCUUGACCCUCUUCUAAGCUAUUUUUCUGUAUUAACUCACUUAAUCCUUACAAACACCCUAGGGAUUUGCUAUUAUAAUCUCUCUUUUAUAAAUAGGAACAUAGGCAAAGAGUGGCUAAAUUAAGUUAGUAAGUGAUCAGGCAUGAUUCAAACUCAUGGCUCUAGACCCGUGCUCUUUAUAACCACAUUAUUCUGCCUCUGACACCUUCAGUGAUCACAACCCUAUGAAGUAUGAAAGUCUGCCCAUUUUAUAGCGAAGAAAAUGAGCUUUAGAAAGGCAAAGCAACUUGCCCAAAGUCCAAAGCACAGGGGGAAUGGAGUCAAAAUGCAUAGGUGAACACUUUGGUUUCAGAGUGCAGGCUCCUAAACUCUCUGCUACAUACACACUGCCUACUUCAGAGUUCAAAACAUAUUUACUUCAGAUCAUUGAAAAUGGUAUUAAAAAUCACAACUGACAUUCAGUUGUGUCCAGUAAUAUUCAGUCUCUACACCUGUUAAGGAGAAGUUGGAUCCUGCAGAUAUGAAACCUGCUGGCCCUGCCACAGAAAGCCCCGUUAUUCUGGGCAAAAUUGAAUUUAUAGUUUUAAUGACCUGUGAAAGGAAAUUCUGAAUAGAGGUUCUUUAAAAAAUGGGGGAUAUGGAAAUAAGUUAUUAGUUGAAAAACAAUUUCCAUUUUGAUAAGCUGCUUCAAGAAGAAGCAAUGACUAACUGUAACUAAAUGCUUCAUCAGUAUGCAAACAAACCUAUUUUGUACAAUGCUGCAAUUAUCUGUGUAGCAGAUGGGUGGUUCUGUUUCCCCUUCUGGACAGAGACACUCACCCUUUCUUGCACACUUGCAUUGAGAGCUACAUGCGUCCAACUAGUUUAUGUAAGAAGGGGAUAUAAAUGGGGCAACUCUGAAAGGUGCUUCUCUCUCCAGAACUUCCCUUAUGACCCAUGAAGGCUUCUGUUACAACUGCGUUGCAGUUUAACUUCUCCUUCUCCCCAAUCCUGCUUCCCCUACAGAUGUUAUUGAGAAUACUCACUAAUAAACCUCAUGCAUGCAAA
rnacentral:lncRNA from 1 species